CUGCCAGAAUUCAUAUGCUUGUCCCGAAGACUCAAGCCAUGCAUGCCUAGAAGAAAAACUAGUUCCUUGGCUGUGCUGAAUUUUCUGGCAGCCUUGGUACUGGGGAAUCAGCGAACGGCUCCGUAUAUCUGUUGUUACCCAUCGUUGGCAAACUGGGCGUGGAUAUAGCAUGGAAAAGCUGUGUGUAAAACAAGUGAAUGGGGCAAUUUUCGACCCUCACUUAGCACAGAGGGUUUGCGCUAAGCGGACUCAUUUUUUUCGUGGCUCCCGCCCCGUCAGCAGCUCCCACAGUACGGGCUUAGUCCCCGAAACGGAGGCCUCAGUUAAGGGUUACAGGAAAAUGGUACUCCCAGCCGAGCCCAGCUCGGUGCUGUUUUGCCCUUAUUUCCGACUGAGACUAACCAACAGUGCACGAUGGGCUUCAGACCUAUCAGCUUGAUGGUAGGGUAUAGGCCUACCAUAGCCAUGACGGGUACAGAGGAUUAGGGUUUGAUCCUGGAGAGGUAGCCUGAGAAAUCGCUCCCACUUCUAAGGAAGGCAGCAGGCGCGUAACGUUCCCAAUGCCAUUAACCCUGGUGAGGACGUGAGGGGACAUAACAAUGCUCACCUAAUAGAAGGGAGUAAUUGCAAUGGCAUUAGCUUAAAAA
rnacentral:rRNA from 1 species